rnacentral:rRNA from 1 species
GACAGAGGGUGCAAGCGUCGUUCGGAAUUAUUGGGCGUAAAGCGCGCGUAGGCGGUCUGCAAAGUCGGGUGUGAAAUCCCGGGGCUCAACCCCGGAAGUGCAUUCGAAACUAACAGACUUGAGUCUCGGAGAGGAUGGCGGAAUUCCUGGUGUAGAGGUGAAAUUCGUAGAUAUCAGGAGGAACAUCCGUGGCGAAGGCGGCCAUCUGGACGAUGACUGACGCUGAGGUGCGAAAGCGUGGGGAGCAAACAGG